UACGUAGGCAGCGAGCGUUGUUCGGAAUUACUGGGCGUAAAGAGUGUGUAGGCGGUGUUCCCAGGCUGUUGUGAAAUCUCCCGGCUCAACUGGGAGGGUGCGCCGGAUACUGAGGGGCUAGAGUGUGGGAGAGGAAAGUGGAAUUCCUGGUGUAGCGGUGAAAUGCGUAGAUAUCGGGAGGAACACCUGCGGUGUAGACGGCUUUCUGGACCAUUACUGACGCUGAGACACGAAAGCGUGGGUAGCAAACAGG
rnacentral:rRNA from 1 species